CGUAAUUAUAUAAUGGGAAAACUUCAAAAACCCUCAUGUGAUUUCGUACUUUUUCAUUUUAGUAUCCUAUGGUUUAAAAUAUAUCAAGUUACUAUCAUGUGGUUUCUCACUUUAUCACUUUAGUACCCUAUAGUUUAAAAUGUAUCAAGUUAGUACUAUAUGGUUUUAUUUUUGUAUCAAGUUAGUACGCUGUGGUUUUAUUUUUGUAUCAAAUUAGUACCCUGUGGUUUUUAAACCACAUGGUACUAAAGUGAUAAAGUGCGAAACCAAAGGUUACUAAAAUAAUGAAGUGCGAAACCACAGAGUACUAAAGUGAUAAAGUGUGAAACCACAGGGUACUAACUUGAUACACUUUAAACUACAGGGUACUAAAGUGAAAAAGUGCAAAACCACAGGGUACUAAUUUGAUACACUUUAAAUCAUAAGGUACUAAAGUGAGAAAAA
rnacentral:lncRNA from 1 species